GAAAUUUUAGUUUAAUAGUUUAAAAUUUUUUUUUUACAAAAAAAAGAUAAUUUAUGUUAAAUUUCA
rnacentral:tRNA from 1 species